AGAAACACCAGAGACAACACUACGCGUUGUAGCCAUCAUUAUAAGGUAUUUACAUUUAAGGGUUUUCAAAGUAAUCUAUUGUGUAAUGUUUUGUCUUAAAUAUUUUAUUUAGUUUCAUUUACUUUGCUAAUUGUAUUUCAAACUUAAUAUUUUUUUAUUUACCUGUAAUUAAUUUUCAAUGUUGUAGUAUUGUAUACAGUCGUAUGGUCAACUUACUUUAGGGAACAGUUUUCAUUAGCAUUGAAUAACAAAUUGUUUACAUUCAGAGUUGCCAUUUAAUUGUAAUUUGCAUUAUUAUUUAUUUGCAAUUGUGUAAUUAAACAUAAUAUACAUUAUUUGCUACAAAAUGAUAUAUUCAUAAUGCAUUUAUAUGUACAGUUGUCUUUAUUUGCCAUCUGCAUAUUUCAUAUCUAUCAUUACCUUCUAUGUUAUAUUUAAUAAAGAAUAUGAACGCUCUGCAUUCAAUUCAUCUGAGCCUUAUUCCACCUGGUCACAAAAAUAAUAUUGAAAGUUCAUAUUUUAAAAGUUAAUUUUCACACAUUAAUUAAACUCUUUUCAAGUAUUCCUUAUUCAAAUAAGAAAAGAUUUCCAAUCUUUUUUCAACUUUAAUCUUCAUUUAAUAUGUACACAUUCCUCUUUUGACUUCUACUGAUUCUUUUUUUAUAUUAUUUGUGUGAAUAAGUUUAAGUUUCGAUAGUUUUGUGAUUAUUUAAUUAAACUGAGUUGAAUCUAUGAUCAACAUUUACAAAUUGGAAGAUAGUUCAGCGUCAAUUUAAAUUAUACCUUAAGGUUUGCAAAAGUGAUAAUUUUGGAAUUUUUCUAUUGCUGAUUAUUUAUUGGCAAAUGUUUUUUUUUAAUUUUUUUAAUAUGAGCGGUAAAUAAAGAGCAGUCGAAGAGUUUAUAAAAAUCUUAACAGUUUUGAUACAAUUGACACUGUAGUUGCAAAAUAUUGAUGUCGAUUUGUUGGAUUUAUCAUCGACACCAGAGGAACACGAUUAAUUUGAGUUUGUUUCAGGUGCUGUCGGUCCGGUACAGUCUUCUUAAAGUGAGGAAGAUGCUUCGAUUCCUAAAAUAACUUGGUGAAUUCAAAAGUAAAUGAGUAGAAAAAUAAAUUUUGAGGGUACAGCUGUUUGAGAAAAAGAGGGAUGAUCCAAGGAAGCAACAACUUUAAGAGCUAUCUUAAAAACAACUACAGGAAGAAGUAGCUGUGAUGUCGGAGUCCAUUGUCGAGAUCAAAGAAAAAGAAACAGAAAGAAAAGGCGUUAGAAAGCAAAAACAUGGUACAUAAGCACGUUGAGUUUAAGCGAUUCUAAAUUCAAAUAUUUUCCGGAA
rnacentral:lncRNA from 1 species